UAGUUUAUUUAAUUCCCCUUCUCUUUCCACGAUUUGGGCAUGGAAGCGAUGGAAACAGCGAUUCCCCCCCCCCCUCCGAACAAAGCUCUGAGUUUCACGGGGGUUCAUGGCACCAGAUCUUUAGGUUCUCUCAAAGUAGUAGGUUAUGAGCUUAUGAUGCUGAUUUUGCUUAGGACAAGAAUGUCUUCAGGGAUGAUUGCCGUGAGAAAUCAAGUUUUGCAGAAAAAUAAAUGUGGUAAGAGAUGCCAUAACGUCAUAUCUUUCGACUUUAUGCCGUUAACAGAAAACACCUGAAAUCAACUUGGUGUACUUAUAUCACACCUCGUGGAAGAGAAACAUGAUAUUGAUGAUUAAUGUAAUUUGUUAUGUAAUUAGUUUUUAUAUAUGAUAAGUUAACAGAAGAAUAACACUAAGCUUAACCAUUUCAAUAGAAAACUGAACUUCUAUAU